GUUUGUUUCUGACUAGUAACUAGGAGCUCAGUGUCUUUGGCCUCUCACACUGACCUUAAGGCAAAUGCCUUUGAACCGUCCACUCCAGUCUGUCAAUCCUCCUUGAAGAAUGGUCCAGCCUGCACUGCUGCUUUUUACCAUCAGGGGGCAGUGGGGCCAUGAGUGCCCAGGGAGACAGGGAAGGAUGCUUAGCACCUGGCGAGUGGGAGGAAGUGUCUCUCAGUGUUUGCACUUAAAGCAUCUCAGUAGCUAGAUACUUCAUUGGUACGAAUGGUGUAUUUUCUUCUAAAUUUUGUGCAAUCCAAAAAGGCAGGAAGUUUGAUCUUAAUGCAUUUUCCAUGGUCAUCUAUUUCACUCUGAGCCAAGAAUUUAUUAGGAAAACGAAAAGAAUUGCAAGAAUAACUUUAGAUUGACAUUUCUCCAUUUUCCUACUUGUCGAAUAGGUUUGGUACGUGUUCUGAAGGAACACGGUGCCAGUUGAAAUGGUGCUCUGCUUUCUUCCCUGUUAUUCUGAAAUAGAUGUGCUUUUCACACACAUGGAUAGACCAUUUACUCCUGAUUUGUAUCUCAGGGACAAAUCUGACUUAUUAACACCAUUAUUUGUAAACUGCUAGCCUGGUUUCCUGUGCUGUUGUAACGCUAUCUUGAUGGGUUGCUGUGAAAAUGUGAAGAUGUCUGUCAGGCAGGAAAAAUUAUGUAAAAAUGAUGUGGGUAUAGAAAAUGGGAUCGACAAAAUGUAAUAAACUCCUCCUGGGCUGAACAGCAGAGCUGCAUAUGUAAUGAAGUACUUUAGGAUUACGUCACCUUUUAUAUAACAUCUGGCAGUGACUUUUAUUUCAGAGCUAAUUUGGAGAAGCCAGGCACUUUUCUCUUCCCCUCCCCAAGACUGCCUUUAUCUGAAAGACGAAAGAAGGAACUGUUACAUUUUGCAUGCAAAGAAAGCCAGAGUGGCUAGAUUACUCCCUUAGGGUAAUGGAGAAAGGAAAAAGAAAUUGAAAAAGGUCAGGUGAACAAAGCAGAAGGAAUGAAGAGGUUUGUGUGAUUCUUAGUGAAAUUGGACCAGUCUAAGCAACCAGACAGUGCAGUUCAGGAAACCAGGCUGAAGAAUGUGAAAUACAUCGCCCAAAGUCAGACACGGAGGAACAACUGCUUCGGAGCUAGCAAUUUCCUGAGCUGGAAUUGCACCACUGGCCUGUAGAAUCCAAACUGUUUUCUACCAGAACAACUCCUUCCCUGCAGGAAGCAGGGUGUGCACAGCUGAACCCUGGUCUGAGAAGGUUGAAGUCACUGACUCAGCCCCAGCAAGGAAGUUGCCCUUCGACUUCUGACCUCUGGCCCUGUUUGAAAACCAACUCAAAUCGUUUUUCUUUUUCAGAAGCUGCUUGCCUCCGCUUCACCUUCCACCAUGAUUAAAAGUGACAACUUAAAAACUUUCUUUAAACAUAUCACUCUGACACCAAUGUGUAAGAUGAAGUGGACAGGAAUGGAACUGUACUGGGAGGCUCUGACAGUUCGGGUGAGAAGAAAUGAAGGGUCCUGUAAGCAGAUGAGCAGAUGAACAGAAGAGCAGAAGAGCAGCACAGCCGAGAAGGAAUGAAUGGCACAGCAGAGAAGGAGAGAAGAGAAGGAGCAUCUGAACGUUGAGAGUUCAACUAGAAAUGGUCAGAGAGGAGACUGAUCAUGGGAUAGCCAAACUCCAGGAGAAGAUUAUGUUCCCACUCCAUCCCCUUUCCAGAUCCCCAAUCCAUCCCUCUGAGAGCCACCUCUACCACUCGAUAAAACCCCUGCAUUUACCAUCC
rnacentral:lncRNA from 10 species